rnacentral:rRNA from 1 species
AAAGGAACUAACAAGGAUUCCCCUAGUAACGGCGAGUGAAGCGGGAUGAGCUCAAAUUUAAAAUCUGGCUGGUUUACUAGUCCGAAUUGUAGUUUAAAGAAGCGUUUUCGGUGGCAGCCUGGGUAUAAAUCCUUUGGAACAGGGUAUCAUAGAGGGUGAGAAUCCCGUCUUUGACUCAGUGCAUGCUACUAUGUGAUACGUUUUCAAAGAGUCGAGUUGUUUGGGAAUGCAGCUCAAAAUGGGUGGUAAAUUUCAUCUAAGGCUAAAUAUUGGCGAGAGACCGAUAGCGAACAAGUACCGUGAGGGAAAGAUGAAAAGAACUUUGAAAAGAGAGUUAAACAGUGCGUGAAAUUGUUGAAAGGGAAACGCUUGACACCAGUCAUGCGAGCGGAAAAUCAGUCUUUUGCAGUGGGGAGUUGUGUGGGUUCGGACCGCAAGGCCGGCCUGCGCUGCAUCUCUGCUGUAAGUGAUGCACUUUUUCGUUUGCAGGCCAACAUCAGUUUCUUCUGCUGGACAAAACUCUUGAGAAGGUAGCAGCUUUGGCUGUGUUAUAGCUCUUGAGCGAUACAGUGGAGGGGACUGAGGUUUUCGCAGCGCGUGCUCUCGGGCAAGGCUGAUUGGGUGCUAUGGGAUCGUUCGGUGUACAAUGCUUGCAUUUUGCGCCGUGUCUUUUCUGUACUCGCUCAACUCGGCUCUUCCGCGCUUAGGAUGUUGGCUUAAUGGUUUUAAUCGA